GUACAUUCUGGCUGAUGCAGGUUCUCUCUAUUUGGAACAGAGAGAAAAAGAAUGAAUGCCAGAGAUGCUGAGUGCCAUGCAAUGGACAGUGGGAAAUUCUUUUAUGAUCUCUGUGGGCGAUCGGUUUCUUCCCUGACACAUGACAGUGAUUAAACAAAAUGCUGUAGAAAUAAGAUGAAAGUGUGGAGGUGGUAUGGGAAGGGCACAGGUAUUUUUUUAGCCCAGAGCAGAGGGAAUUUUAGCAAAUAUACCUGUGCUGCAGUGAAGAAAAUGAAUUCAGUGGUGAGGACAUUGAACAUGAACAAAACAUGAUCAAGAAUAUAAAACUUUAUUAAUCAUUUUUAUGUUUGUUUUCUGUUUACUGUCUGUACAACAAACUCUGAAUUACUGUAUGUAUGGCAGUGAUGGCCACAGGGAGAUGGUGGAGCAGACCUACAUAAGUAAUAAGGAACAGUCUCCACGUUUUUAUCCUUAUUCCUAUCUUUCUUCAUCAGAGUGUCCUGCUGCUUGGACAUAAGACUAGAGGACAUAAGAUACCAGGACUAGCGAGGGCUAGCAAACUUCACUAAAUCAUAUAUGCUAGAAAAUUUUGACAAGUACAAAUAAUGAUGUUUUAUUGAAAAUAUUCAGUUCUGUAAGUCUCUGGUUGAAAAUUACUCCCCAUAAGAUUUUGAAACCUGUUUACUUUCUUCUUUACAUACCUGUACAACCUCUGGCUUUCCUUUGAUCCCAAACCCUGAUCGUGGGAGCAGGAGAUACAUUCCUGACACCGAAAGAGCUGAAGUCCU
rnacentral:lncRNA from 1 species